rnacentral:rRNA from 1 species
UGCAGUCGACGAUGAAGCCUUUCGGGGUGGAUUAGUGGCGAACGGGUGAGUAACACGUGGGCAAUCUGCCCUGUACUUUGGGAUAAGCCUGGGAAACUGGGUCUAAUACCGGAUAUGACUUUUGCGGGCAUCCGUGAAAGUGGAAAGCUCCGGCGGUACGGGAUGAGCCCGCGGCCUAUCAGCUUGUUGGUGGGGUAAUGGCCUACCAAGGCGACGACGGGUAGCCGGCCUGAGAGGGUGACCGGCCACACUGGGACUGAGACACGGCCCAGACUCCUACGGGAGGCAGCAGUGGGGAAUAUUGCACAAUGGGCGCAAGCCUGAUGCAGCGACGCCGCGUGAGGGAUGACGGCCUUCGGGUUGUAAACCUCUUUCGCCAGGGACGAAGCGCAAGUGACGGUACCUGGAUAAGAAGCACCGGCUAACUACGUGCCAGCAGCCGCGGUAAUACGUAGGGUGCGAGCGUUGUCCGGAAUUAUUGGGCGUAAAGAGCUCGUAGGCGGUUUGUCGCGUCGUUCGUGAAAACUCCACGCUUAACGUGGAGCGUGCGGGCGAUACGGGCAGACUUGAGUUCGGUAGGGGAGACUGGAAUUCCUGGUGUAGCGGUGAAAUGCGCAGAUAUCAGGAGGAACACCGGUGGCGAAGGCGGGUCUCUGGGCCGAUACUGACGCUGAGGAGCGAAAGCGUGGGGAGCGAACAGGAUUAGAUACCCUGGUAGUCCACGCUGUAAACGUUGGGCGCUAGGUGUGGGCGACAUCCACGUUGUCCGUGCCGUAGCUAACGCAUUAAGCGCCCCGCCUGGGGAGUACGGCCGCAAGGCUAAAACUCAAAGGAAUUGAC